rnacentral:tRNA from 1 species
GCGAAAAUAGCUUAAUAGGCAAAGCGUGACUUUGCCAAAGUCACUAUGAGGGUUCAAAUCCCUCUUUUCGCU